rnacentral:rRNA from 1 species
GACGAACGCUGGCGGCGUGCUUAAUACAUGCAAGUCGAACGGACAGGCCCUGCUUUUGUGGGGUGCUCGAUUGGCGAACGGGUGAGUAUCACGUGAGUAACCCGCCCUUGUCUUUGGGAUAACUCCUGGAAACUGCGGCUAAUAUCGGAUAGAAGCUCCUGCUGCAUGGUGGGGGUUGGAAAGUUUCGGCGGUUGGGUAUGGACUCGCAGCUUAUCCGCUUGUUAGUGUGGUAGGUGCUGACGAAGGCUUUGACGGCUAGCCGGCCUGAGAGGGUGACCGGCCUCCAGGGGACUGAGAGAGGGACCAGACGCCUACGGGAGGCAGCGGUCGGGAGUAUUGCGGAAUAGGCGGAAGCCUGAUACAGCAGCGUCGCGUGCGGGAUGACGGCCUUCGAGGUGUAAACCGCUUUCGCAUGUAACGAAGCGUGAGUGACGGUAAUGGGUAAGGAAGCACCGGCUAACUACGUG